AGUUGCGUGAGUUUGGAGCGAAGUUUUAUCACUCACUGACGGCAAGGUGACCUAACACGUUCAUCGACCGCACCCCCGUUUUCUCCCAGAUGCGCAUCAUUUUGGAAAAGGGAAUAAAUAAUUUUCAGUUUGUACUGUGGUAACUUCAAACAAUAACAACAAUAAUUCAGUAAAGCUGCUUUAAAAUUGUAAUCUAAAUAAA